AUGGGAUGCUCCAGCUCGACGCUUGCGCGCGGCGGCGUAGACAUGUCGGCGCUGCCGGCGCCGGCGCGGCCAGAGAGGCGGCAUAGCCUUCCUUCACGCGCCGCCUCGGCGCUGGGCUCCCACGGCCUCUGCCGCGGCCGGCACGACGGCCUGCACCCCUACACGAGGUUGCCGCUCGAAGAGACGGUAAAGGGCGAAGCCGAAUACGGAGCACCGUCAGCGGAGGCGAAGGCCGCUUCCUUCAGUGGGGAUGCGGCGGCGUGGCCUGCGGAGGGCCGCGCGCCGGUCAAGCUAUCGCCGGCCGGAAUUCUUGAGGGCGCAGCAUCGGCAACGUCGAGCACAGCGCAUUGGACCGCAUCAGCGACUUCGAGCACGCCGCAAUUUUCAGCUUCGCCGAGUUGGUUCCGUGGAGAAUCAUCGUCGCCGCCACCGCCGGUGCAGUUUGUGGCGCCUGACUUUGACCCAGCGAUCCUGUCCCUGUUCCGCGAGGCCUUGGUGGGACAGUCACCGUCUCACCCGGCGGUUCUCUUCCCAGAGAAUGAGGCCACGACCCUGCGGGAGACGGCCGCCUUGGACGAGGCGGUGCCGCCGGCCGCCCGGGACAUGCCGGAGGUGACCGGCUUGGUUCGCGCGCGUGUCGACGAGUUCCACAAGAAGCUGGAGGAGAUGAAGGAGAUGAAGGAAGCUGAGGCCCAGAGCGCCACCCGCGACGCCACGGACGAGGUGGCGGCGCCUCCUCCGAGGAAGGCGGUGGUAGUGUACUUCACCAGCAUCCGCGGCGUGCGCAAGACGUUCGCGGACGGCGCGGCCGUGCGCGCCAUCCUGUUCUCCUACCGCGUGCGCGUGGACGAGCGCGACGUGUCCAUGCACGCCGCCUUCAAGGACGAGCUCCGCAACCUCGUCAGCCUCGCCGCGGGGGGCGGGCACGUGCUCCCCCGCGUUUUCGUCUUGGGCGAUGGCGAGCAGCAGCAAGACCUUGGGGGCGCCGACGAGGUGAGCGCGCUGCACGAGAGCGGCGAGCUCGCUCACGCGCUGGCCGGGUGCGAGACGGUGGCGGCGCUCCUCCCCCCGUGCGUCGGGUGCGGUGACUUGCGGUUCCUGCCCUGCGACAGGUGCUUCGGCAGCUGCAAGCUCUUCGCCGGCGACGAGGGUGGGUGCGUGGGUGACAUGUUCGAGGAGUGCACGCACUGCAACGAGAACGGGCUCAUCAGGUGCCCGGUCUGCUGCCUCUGA
rnacentral:rRNA from 1 species